UACGUAGGGUGCAAGCGUUGUCCGGAAUUAUUGGGCGUAAAGAGCUCGUAGGCGGUUUGUCGCGUCGGCUGUGAAAACUCGGGGCUCAACCCCGAGCCUGCAGUCGAUACGGGCAGACUAGAGUGCUGUAGGGGAGACUGGAAUUCCUGGUGUAGCGGUGAAAUGCGCAGAUAUCAGGAGGAACACCGGUGGCGAAGGCGGGUCUCUGGGCAGUAACUGACGCUGAGGAGGCGAAAGCGUGGGGAGCGAACAGG
rnacentral:rRNA from 1 species